GAAUCAUGAGAAAAUGGAACCAGCCACUGGAGUACUUAGAAUUCCUCCAACUUCUUUUUUGAAGAGUUGUGUAAUAUGUAAGCAGACUCAUGGUUCCUGCACUCAAUGCAGCAGAUGUCCUACUUAUUUUCAAGUUAUGUGUGCUGCAAGAGCAGGACACAGCAUGGAAGAAGGAUAUGUUAGAUAGAUACUCAUAAGGUUCGACAGCCAAGAGGUUGAUUAUAACUAUGUCAUGGUCAUUAACAAAGGACAGAAAAGCAUCGAAUAUGUUUCGGUAA